rnacentral:rRNA from 1 species
AAGCUCGUAGUUGAAUUUCGGGGUUAGUAGGUUGGUCAUGCCUCUGGUAUGUACUGGUCUCACUGAUUCCUCCUUCCUUAUGAACCGUAAUGCCAUUAAUUUGGUGUUGCGGGGAAUUUGGACUGUUACUUUGAAAAAAUUAGAGUGUUUAAAGCAAGCUAACGCUUGAAUACAUUAGCAUGGAAUAAUGAAAUAGGACGUUCGAUCUCAUUUUGUUGGUUUCUAGGAUUGACGUAAUGAUUAAUAGGGAUAGUUGGG